AUGGGGAAAAAAAGCAAGUGGUGGAGUUGGAGGAGCCAUGUCCCUUUUCACUUGAAGCAUGCGAAGGGAUUGCGUGAGGGAAAGUAUCUAGUGCAAAUUAAGGGGUCUACUUCCCUUAUGCUUUUUAGUAGAGUUCCAAAUCAAUCUUUUUUAAAAAUAGCACAUAGACAUGACAUGAAUCCAUGGUGUCACAAUAAUUCAAACAUUGCUCCGAAAACAGAAUUUAGAAUUUUGCUGCCAGUAGCGACAAUGGGCCAAAUUCGAAGCCCAACUUACAUUAAACACUAUUUAGUGUUAGAGUUGUUGUUUUUUCUCUCGACUUGUGUUACGAAUUUUAAUUUGAAUUUGUGUGACAAUAUAGAUUCAUGUCAUCUCUGCGUGCUAACUUUUGUUCAUAGUUUUCUGAAAAACCUUCAAAAGCAUUUCUGUUAUUUCUUUUUGUGA
rnacentral:rRNA from 1 species